GCUGGGCACGGUGGUACAUGCCUGUAAUCCCAGUGGCUGGGGAGGCUGAGGCAGGAGGAUCUCGAGUUCAAAGGCCAGCAUCAGCAAUUUAGCAAAGCUCUAAGCAACUCAGUGAGACCCUGUCUCUA
rnacentral:sRNA from 1 species